rnacentral:rRNA from 1 species
UGGGGAAUAUUGGACAAUGGGCGAAAGCCUGAUCCAGCCAUGCCGCGUGUGUGAAGAAGGUCUUCGGAUUGUAAAGCACUUUAAGUUGGGAGGAAGGGCAUUAACCUAAUACGUUAGUGUUUUGACGUUACCGACAGAAUAAGCACCGGCUAACUCUGUGCCAGCAGCCGCGGUAAUACAGAGGGUGCAAGCGUUAAUCGGAAUUACUGGGCGUAAAGCGCGCGUAGGUGGUUUGUUAAGUUGGAUGUGAAAUCCCCGGGCUCAACCUGGGAACUGCAUUCAAAACUGACUGACUAGAGUAUGGUAGAGGGUGGUGGAAUUUCCUGUGUAGCGGUGAAAUGCGUAGAUAUAGGAAGGAACACCAGUGGUGAAGGCGACCACCUGGACUAAUACUGACACUGAGGUGCGAAAGCGUGGGGAGCAAACA